CGAGGGGUAGUCUAGCAAUAGAUGAGACCGGCGCACGGGUGCGUAACGCGUAUGCAAUCUACCUUUUACAGAGGGAUAGCCCAGAGAAAUUUGGAUUAAUACCUCAUAGUAUAACGACUCGGCAUCGAGAUGUUAUUAAAGUUCCAACGGUAAAAGAUGAGCAUGCGUCCCAUUAGCUAGUUGGUGUGGUAACGGCACACCAAGGCAACGAUGGGUAGGGGUCCUGAGAGGGAGAUCCCCCACACUGGUACUGAGACACGGACCAGACUCCUACGGGAGGCAGCAGUGAGGAAUAUUGGUCAAUGGGCGCAAGCCUGAACCAGCCAUGCCGCGUGCAGGAUGACGGUCCUAUGGAUUGUAAACUGCUUUUGUACAGGAAGAAACACUCCCUCGUGAGGGAGCUUGACGGUACUGUAAGAAUAAGGAUCGGCUAACUCCGUGCCAGCAGCCGCGGUAAUACGGAGGAUCCAAGCGUUAUCCGGAAUCAUUGGGUUUAAAGGGUCCGUAGGCGGGUUUAUAAGUCAGUGGUGAAAGCCCAUCGCUCAACGAUGGAACGGCCAUUGAUACUGUAGAUCUUGAAUUAUUAGGAAGUAACUAGAAUAUGUAGUGUAGCGGUGAAAUGCUUAGAGAUUACAUGGAAUACCAAUUGCGAAGGCAGGUUACUACUAAUGGAUUGACGCUGAUGGACGAAAGCGUGGGUAGCGAACAGGAUUAGAUACCCUGGUAGUCCACGCCGUAAACGAUGGAUACUAGCUGUUCGGAGCAAUCUGAGUGGCUAAGCGAAAGUGAUAAGUAUCCCACCUGGGGAGUACGUU
rnacentral:rRNA from 1 species